rnacentral:rRNA from 1 species
UACGUGAGGGGCAAGCGUUGUCCGGAAUCAUUGGGCGUAAAGAGCGAUGUAGGCGGCCAGAUAAGUCCGCUGUGGAAAUCUCGAGGCUCAACUUCGAGCUGUCGGUGGAAACUGUCUGGACUAGAGUCCGGAAGAGGAGAAUGGAAUUCCUGGUGUAGCGGUGAAAUGCGACAGAUAUCAGGAAGAACACCCGUGGCGAAGGCGGUUCUCUGGGACGGUACUGACGCUGAGACGCGAAAGCGUGGGGAGCGAACAGG